AGAGUUUGAUCAUGGCUCAGGAUGAACGCCGGCGGUGUGCCUAAUACAUGCAAGUCGUACGCACUGGCCCAACUGAUUGAUGGUGCUUGCACCUGAUUGACGAUGGAUCACCAGUGAGUGGCGGACGGGUGAGUAACACGUAGGCAACCUGCCCCGGAGCGGGGGAUAACAUUUGGAAACAGAUGCUAAUACCGCAUAACAACAAAAGUCACAUGGCUUUUGUUUGAAAGAUGGCUUUGGCUAUCACUCUGGGAUGGACCUGCGGUGCAUUAGCUAGUUGGUAAGGUAACGGCUUACCAAGGCGAUGAUGCAUAGCCGAGUUGAGAGACUGAUCGGCCACAAUGGAACUGAGACACGGUCCAUACUCCUACGGGAGGCAGCAGUAGGGAAUCUUCCACAAUGGGCGCAAGCCUGAUGGAGCAACACCGCGUGAGUGAAGAAGGGUUUCGGCUCGUAAAGCUCUGUUGUUGGAGAAGAACGUGCGUGAGAGUAACUGUUCACGCAGUGACGGUAUCCAACCAGAAAGUCACGGCUAAAUACGUGCCAGCAGCCGCGGUAAUACGUAGGGGGCAAGCGUUAUCCGGAUUUAUUGGGCGUAAAGCGAGCGCAGGCGGUUGCUUAGGUCUGAUGUGAAAGCCUUCGGCUUAACCGAAGAAGUGCAUCGGAAACCGGGCGACUUGAGUGCAGAAGAGGACAGUGGAACUCCAUGUGUAGCGGUGGAAUGCGUAGAUAUAUGGAAGAACACCAGUGGCGAAGGCGGCUGUCUGGUCUGUAACUGACGCUGAGGCUCGAAAGCAUGGGUAGCGAACAGGAUUAGAUACCCUGGUAGUCCAUGCCGUAAACGAUGAGUGCUAGGUGUUGGAGGGUUUCCGCCCUUCAGUGCCGGAGCU
rnacentral:rRNA from 1 species